rnacentral:tRNA from 1 species
GGCAGCGUGGCCGAGUGGUCAGGGCGUCGGACCUGUCAGUAAUCCGGAGGUCCCGGGUUCAAGUCCUCCAUCCUGCCA